rnacentral:rRNA from 1 species
AUUGAACGCUGGCGGAAUGCUUUACACAUGCAAGUCGAACGGCAGCACGGACUUCGGUCUGGUGGCGAGUGGCGAACGGGUGAGUAAUGUAUCGGAACGUAUCCAAUAAUGGGGGAUAACUAGUCGAAAGAUUAGCUAAUACCGCAUACGCCCUACGGGGGAAAGCUAGGGACCUUCGGGCCUGGCGUUAAUGGAGCGGCCGAUAUCUGAUUAGCUAGUUGGUGAGGGAAAAGCUCACCAAGGCGACGAUCAGUAGCUGGUCUGAGAGGACGAACAGACACACUGGAACUGAGACACGGUCCAGACUCCGACGGGAGGCAGCAGUAGGGAAUUUUGGACAAUGGGCGAAAGCCUGAUCCAGCCACUCCGCGUGAGUGAAGAAGGCCUUCGGGUUGUAAAGCUCUUUCGCAAGAGAAGAAAACGUACCCUCUAACAUAGGGUGAGGCUGACGGUAUCUUGAUAAGAAGCACCGGCUAACUACGUGCCAGCCGCCGCCGUAA